rnacentral:rRNA from 1 species
UCGGAACGUGCCCAAUCGUGGGGGAUAACGCAGCGAAAGCUGUGCUAAUACCGCAUAAGAUCUACGGAUGAAAGCAGGGGACCCGCAAGGGCCUUGCGCGAAUGGAGCGGCCGAUGGCAGAUUAGGUAGUUGGUGAGGUAAAGGCUCACCAAGCCUUCGAUCUGUAGCUGGUCUGAGAGGACGACCAGCCACACUGGGACUGAGACACGGCCCAG